rnacentral:rRNA from 1 species
UACAGAGGUCCCGAGCGUUGUUCGGAUUCACUGGGCGUAAAGGGUGCGCAGGUGGCUUGGCAAGUUUGAUGUGAAAGCUCAGGGCUUAACCCUGAAAUGGCAUUGAAUACUGUUGAGCUGGAGGUUUGGAGGGGGGACUGGAAUUCUUGGUGUAGCAGUGAAAUGCGUAGAUAUCAAGAGGAACACCAGUGGCGAAGGCGGGUCUCUGGGCCGAUACUGACGCUGAGGAGCGAAAGCGUGGGGAGCGAACAGG